UGGGGAAUCUUGGACAAUGGGGGCAACCCUGAUCCAGCGAUGCCGCGUGAGCGAUGAAGGCCUUAGGGUUGUAAAGCUCUUUCACCGGUGACGAUAAUGACGGUAGCCGGAGAAGAAGCCCCGGCUAACUCCGUGCCAGCAGCCGCGGUAAUACGAAAGGGGCUAGCGUUGUUCGGAAUUACUGGGCGUAAAGCGCGCGUAGGCGGCAUGCCAAGUUGGGGGUGAAAUCCCGGGGCUCAACCCCGGAACUGCCUCCAAAACUGGUAAGCUAGAGGAUGUGAGAGGAUAGUGGAAUUCCGAGUGUAGAGGUGAAAUUCGUAGAUAUUCGGAAGAACACCGGUGGCGAAGGCGACUGUCUGGCACAUUUCUGACGCUGAGGUGCGAAAGCGUGGGGAGCAAACAGGAUUAGAUACCCGCGUAGUCC
rnacentral:rRNA from 1 species